AUUUCCUCAGUGUCUAAGCCUAUUUUUAAGCGAUUAAGCAAUGCUCUGGAAAAAAAGUAAAAUCUCAUUGAGAACAGUGGGAGCUGUUACUGUAUAGCUACUAUUAGCAUUACCACCACGACUGUGCGGGGAGUUUUUCAUCAUUUGCGCAUAGGACCCUGCUCCACAAAGGCGAGCUGGACGAAGACUCUCCAUAGUGGAGUGUUCAAUCCAAGUGUAUUUCAGGAUCUUGAGAUGAAGAGAUGGCCUUGGAUUAUGAAUUAUCUGGGUAGGUCCCAAAUCCACUUGUAACUGGCUUUUUUUUUUUUUUCUUUUUUUCUCUUUAGGGCUGCACCCGUGGUAUAUGGAGGUCCCCCGGCUAGAGGUUGAAUCUGAGCUGCAGCUGCUGGCCUUCACCACAACCACAGCAAUGCUGGAUUGGAUCUGCACCUGCAACCUAUGCUGAUGGCAAUGUAGGAUCCAGCUCGUGGCAAUGCUGGAUUCUUAACCCACUGAGCAAGGCCAGGGAUGGAACCUGCAUCCUCAUGGAGACUAUGUCAGGUUCUUAACCUGCUGAGCCACAAUGGGAACUCCUGUAACUGUCUUUACAGUAAGAAGGACGCAGAAUGAUCGUGGAGGCAGAGGUGGCCAGGACGGGGCCACAAGCCAAGGAAUGUGGGUGUCACCAGGAGCCGGAGGAGGCCAGGAAGGGAGACUCUCCCCAGCCUCUGGUGGCUGACACUGCUGCAGACUGCUGGCCUCAGGAACUGAAAGAGGCUACGUCCCUGUUGUUUGAAGCCACCGAAUUCAUGGUCAUUGGUUCCAGCAGCCCCAGGGUGAUAAUGAGGGACCAUCCUCUCAAAGUCUGUUAGGUUUUGGCAGGACUGGCCGGCUGGAGGGUGAGGAGGAAGAAAGGGAAAAGAAUUGGCCUGCCAGGUCCAGCCUGUGGCUGGUCAGUGAUUUUCCUUGGGAUGUUAAUACCCGUCAUACCCCGUCUUACCUGCGGGCUGGAGACUGCAUUUUGUCUGAGUGGCUCAUGCUUCAGGGUCACGGGGAGCCCCAGGCGGGGCAGGCUGAAGCUGGUCAUGGGGCCACAAGAAGAGGCUCCAUGGGUUGCAGCCUGAAGUCUGGUGCUUGAAAGGGGAGCUGAAACAGGUAGGGGCUGUCUGGCCAUGGGCACUUCGGGAGUCUGAGCCAUGAUCCUCCGAGGCAGUGUGUCCCCAGUUCCCGUCAGCUUUCGGAGCUCACCAUCCCUCAGGGCUGCACAUCUCAUCUUCAGUAACUGAAAUCUCUUCCUUCAGUUGAAUCUAAAUCCACCUUCAUGGAGACUCCACAAUAGGCUCUGGUUUUACUUUGCUUUUUUUUUUUGGCUGCACUGCUGCCAUGUGGAAGUUCCCAGGCCAGGGACUGAACCUGUACCACAGCAGUGACGAUGCCAAUCCUUAACCACUAAGCCACCAGAGAACUCCUGGUUUUACUUCUUGCUGCAUGUAAAAUAGGGCUCAUUCUUAUACAUGAAAGCUCUCUUCAAAUCUUUGAAGGCAUUUUUUUCUCCUUUUUCCCUUACCAGGCAAAGCACUCCACAGUUCUUCAACUCUGGCGCUCUGGAAGAGUAUUCUUUCUAUGGCUGGUGGCCAGUCCCUCCUCUAGGCAUGCUGUCUUCCUCUGCCUCCCAGAGAAGCUCAAGCGGUGCACCAGAGCUUCAGAUAUGGUCUGCUCAAGCACGCAGGAGUCAUUGUCUCCUGGGGAAGCUCACACAGUGCACCAGAGCUUCAGCCCCAGCCAAACCUGAUCGUGAAGCAGCUUCUGGCCCGCAGGUCGCUGUGCUCCCUCUUCUCGUCUCUUGGCUGGAAGCGCAGAUUUGGGUUCUGUUCCUGACUCAGUCCAAGUGCCAGGUUGGUCAACAAGAGGAAGGGUCCUUACUGGGGACUAAAGGCCAGUGUACACAGACACCUACCUCCGUUACUUCUCACCUCCACAGCCACCCUGCGCGGCGGACACCACAUCCUGCAUCUUACAGGUGAUGGAGUCAAGGCUCAGUUCACUAGCUUUCCUAGCGCCAGAGAGUAACACGCCCAGGGUUUAGCCCAAAUGAUUUUGAAGCUGUAGCAGAGGAGGUAGGGCCCCCUGGACCUCUGCAGCCUGGUGCUCACCCUUCCGUGUGCUGCCCGGAGCUGGUUAGUUGGCAUGAAAUGGCUUAGCCUCAGGACUGAGGCUCUCAUGUCACACAUGCCAGGGAGCCAGUGCAGCCUUCGUGGUGACAAAUGUGGGAGAUCCUUGGGCCCAACACCUCUUCACGAAGUGCCUUCUGGGCCUCUUAGGCCAAAAGCCAGAACCAGGAUGGAGUGACAGAAGCCUCCGAAUAGGUCCAGGGGAGCUGGAAUAAACCUUUCAAGAUGAAAAGUCCUGAGUGCAUCAUUUAUAAUUACACCUGUUUCCUUUGCUCAGUUCUAACAGUCAACCUAUUGACGAGGAAUUUUGCCGUCUUCCUCCUCCUCGUCAUCAUGCUAUCAGGAUCUGCUCCUCCCUGUCCACUCCCCCAAAGGGUUCUCAUGACAGUUGGUUUCACCCCACCACUCAGAGGAGGAGGUGUAUUUCAAUGAGCUCCCCGCUUCCCCUUCUCCCCACACCCUGCCACCACCUUCAUGAAUUUUGCUGAAAUCCUAUUUCUGGGGGACAGAGAUGAAUGCUGUGUAGUUAUCUGAUUAAACUGCCUCUUGUUUAAAUC
rnacentral:lncRNA from 1 species